GUCGUGACGCCCGAUGCUGUGGUUCUCGUCUACGCGACUCAACAGGAAGAUAUCUUUUAACAAGGAGAUAAGCGUGAUUCGCGAUCGAGGAAACUAAAGACUUCACAGG